UACGAAGGGGGCUAGCGUUGCUCGGAAUCACUGGGCGUAAAGCGCACGUAGGCGGAUUGCUAAGUCAGGGGUGAAAUCCUGGAGCUCAACUCCAGAACUGCCCUUGAUACUGGGAGCCUUGAGUUCGGGAGAGGUGAGUGGAACUGCGAGUGUAGAGGUGAAAUUCGUAGAUAUUCGCAAGAACACCAGUGGCGAAGGCGGCUCACUGGCCCGAUACUGACGCUGAGGUGCGAAAGCGUGGGGAGCAAACAGG
rnacentral:rRNA from 1 species